CACCUCGAAAGCUUGUCCUACCGUUCUGACCACCCUCAUCGCUUGACUCUAACGAAAUCCAACUCUUUUUUUCAAUUGAACGUACCGGUGUUUAAUAUCGAAGACCCAGAGGCAUCCUAAGAAAAUUCUAAUAACAGAGUUUCCAAGUAUCCAAACGGAAGAUGUAUUCAAAAUAAUCAAACGUUCAGCUUCAAGCACCGAAAUCACCAUUCGAGCUCUACCAUUCUCGUUAAACGACUACAAAAUCUCAACCCUGCCACCCACGUUACCCACCCACACGAUCGUUCCAAGAAUUAUACGCGAUUUACUUGCUACAAACGAAUUAAGCGUAUUGCUCUUUCAAUUGUAAAACGCGUUUGCUACCGGCGUUACACAAGACAGGACAGAUGGUACCACUGGGUGCAGAAAAUUUUAUGGCGCAGAUUAAUGUAAUGUGGGAUAUAACAGACUUGGGAUUUAAGACUUAGGAUUUGGAUAUUGUAAGAUGAGAAAAUGAGGAUUUAUGGAUGUAGGGAUUUGGAAAUUUGGGGACUUGGAAAUUUAGGAAGAUUUGGAUUUGAGAAUUCAGGAGGAUGGAAAUUUGGAAAUUUAGAGGGCUGAGAGUAGGAGAUUUAGGGAUUUGAUGAUAGGGGAGUUGGAAGUAGAGGGUUUUGGGAAUUUGAGAAUGCAGGAGUUGGAAAUGAGGGAACUUGGGAAUUUAGAAAUUUGGGAGCUUGG
rnacentral:misc_RNA from 1 species